AAAUUUUUAUGACAACCCAAUAAAAUUAGCUAACGGCUAGCUAGCUAAACUAGCCAGGAGUGGAAAACGAAACGGUGACUGUUAUGACUUCGGCCAUGUUUACCAAACGUUAUAUCUCAUUAUGUCUUGAAAAUGUAGCUUGAUGGUUUGGGUAACAAGUUAAUUUACUACCUCGUUUAUGGUGGCUAACUAGCUAUAUUUAAAAAGGACGGGGCCACAGGCCCAUUUGUUACAUGUCCCACCCUCAUAGGCCAUUGCAAGGCUAAUCCGUGGAAUAUGUUGUUGUUGCAGUGAAUAUAAUCUAAAUACGGGUAGGUAUUUAGCUAACUAGUGAGCUAGCUAGUUAGCUACCACAAAUCAUAGUGACAUUGAAGAUUGCACAAGAACCCACUACUAUCGCUAGCUAGUAGGUAGGCCUACAUUAAUUAAUAGUUGUAGACCGCCAAUCUGAGAUUUAAUACCAGAGAGGUAUACCACAAGGCAGGAUAAAGUAGCCAGUUUACUCGCCUAAAUAUAAUGAAAUAACUUCUUUUUUUUCUAGAAAACUUGAAAUGGUCAAGGUCAAAUUGAUUGAACACACCCGAAAACACAUCCAGUGUCUUCAGUAUUUAUUCCUCCUUUUCCACGUUGUGACAAAGAAAUAGUUUUUUAAUCCCACUUUUAACAGUCAAUGUUGGUCAGUAAUCUACACAAAAUACUCUGUCAAAGUGGAAGAAAAAUAAAACACAUAUUGAUUAUAUAAAUAUAAAACCUCCUGAAUCAAUCAAUACAUGUUAGAAUGACCUUUGGCAGUGAUUACAGGUGUUACUCAUUAUGGGUAAAUAUAUGACUUUUGCACACCUGGAUUGUAAAGUAUUUGAACACUAGUAUUAAAAUAAAUAUUUAAGCUCUAACAAAUUGGUCAUAGAUCAUUUCUUGGUGGCCAUUUUCAAGUCUUGCCAUAGAUUUUCAACAUGAUUUAAGUAAACUGUAACUAGGCCACUCGGGAACAUUUAAUGUCAUCAUGGUAAGCAACUCCGGUGUAUAUUCGGCCUUGUGUUUUAGGUUAUUGUCUUGCUGAAAGGGGAAUUUGUCUCCCAGUGUCUGUCGGAAAGCAGAUUGAACCAGAUUUUCCUGGAGGAUUUUGUCUGUCCUUGGUUCUAUUCUGUUUAUUUUGAGCAUUAACGCCCUAGUCCUUGCCGACGACAAGGCUACCCAUAACAUGAUGCAGCCUCCACCAUUCUUGAAAAAAUGAAAAGUGGUACUCAGUAAUGUGUUGUUGGAUUUUCCCCAAACUUAACGCUUUUUAUUCAGGACAUAAAGUUCAUUACUUUGCCAUUUUUGCCUACUUUCGUGCCUUAUUGCAAACAGGAUGCAUGUUUUGGAAUAAAAAAAAUCUGUACAGGCUUCCUUAUUUUGCUCUCAUUUAAGUUAGUAUUGUUGAGUAACAACAAUGUUAACCAAAACACAGUUUUCUCCUAUCACAGCAAUUCAACUCUGUAACCAUGAGCCUUCCUCUCCGGUAACUGAGUUAGGAAGGACGCCUGUAUCUUUGUAGUGACUGGGUGUAUUGACACACCAUCCAAAGUGUAAUUAAUAACUUCACCAUGCUCAAAGGGAUAUUCAAAAUCUGUCUUUUUUUAAAUGAUUGUUUACCCAUCUACCAAUAGGUGCCCUUUGUGAGGCAUUGGAAAAUCUCCCUGGUUUUUGUGGUUGAAUCUGUGUUUGAAAUUCAAUGCUCGACUGAGGGACCUUACAGAUAAUUGUAUAUGUGGGGUACAGAGAUAGAGGUAGUUAUUCACAAAUCAUGUUAAACACCAUUAUUGAACACAGUGAGGACAUGCAUCUUAUUAUGUGACUUGUUUAACCAAUGCUUACUCCUGAACUUAUUUAGGCUUGCUAUAAGAAAGGGUUUGAAUACUUAUCGACUGAAGGCAUUAAAGCUUUUCAUUUUGAAUUAAUUUGGAAGAACAGAAUUCCACUUUGACAUCAAGGGGUAUUGUGUGUCAUUGGCCUACACACAAUCUCAAUUGAAUCCAUUUUAAAUUUAGUCUGUAACACAACAACAUGUCGAAAAAGUCAAUGGCUGUGAAUACUUUCUGAAAGCACUCUUAUCUAUAUUUAACUUUCCUAAUGAACCAGAUAAAUCUGUAGUUAUUUCUGGUUGUUUAUCAAAGUUAGCUGGCUAACUCAUUGAUAUUUCUGGUUGUUUCUCAAAGUUAGCUGGCUAACUCAUUGAUCUUGCUUCGUAGGAUACCCCGAGGGGUAUCAAAGGUUCCUGUCAUGUCACUGAUGGGGUGUUGCCAGUCAAUUUGUCUCACUAGGAAAUAGAUGAAUGAUUACAUCAAAUCAAAUUUGAUUGGUUACAUGCAGAUGUUAUUGCGGGUGUAGCGAAAUGCUUGUGCUUCUAGCUCCGACAGUGCAGUAAUAUCUAACAAAAAUUCACAACAUCUACCCAAUACACUGUGGCAAAGAAGGGGGUCGAGUGAUAAGUGGCAGAUAUGUGAGAGCAGAACUAAUAAACGGGCUCUGCCCGAUCACUAAAAUGGCCACCCCUGUCAGAACUACAGAUCACAAAAUGGCCGACCGCCAAAACUACAAGUCCCAGAAGCAAGGGGAACCCUCAGAAGGUGGAGCCGACUCACAGAUAAAGGGUCAAGAAAAACCAGGAAGAGGGAGAGAGAGUGCUGGAAGGAGCUAUGAACAAUAGAGAAAGAGACUAUAGAGAUUGGCUGGAUUUACCGUGUAUGAGCUGGAUUGUUUUGGACUUACCUGUUGGCGUUUGGACCUGGACCUACCGAGAACCCGAUUCGUGUACCGAACCCUGCUAUCCUUGACCUCGCCUACGGCCUGGGUGGACCAGGACAAACACACAGAACUACAGAUCACAAAAUGGCCGACCGCCAAAACUACAAGUCCCAGAAGCAAGGGGAACCCUCAGAAGGUGGAGCCGACUCACAGAUAAAGGGUCAAGAAAAACCAGGAAGAGGGAGAGAGAGUGCUGGAAGGAGCUAUGAACAAUAGAGAAAGAGACUAUAGAGAUUGGCUGGAUUUACCGUGUAUGAGCUGGAUUGUUUUGGACUUACCUGUUGGCGUUUGGACCUGGACCUACCGAGAACCCGAUUCGUGUACCGAACCCUGCUAUCCUUGACCUCGCCUACGGCCUGGGUGGACCAGGACAAACACACAGAACUACAGAUCACAAAAUGGCCGACCGCCAAAACUACAAGUCCCAGAAGCAAGGGGAACCCUCAGAAGGUGGAGCCGACUCACAGAUAAAGGGUCAAGAAAAACCAGGAAGAGGGAGAGAGAGUGCUGGAAGGAGCUAUGAACAAUAGAGAAAGAGACUAUAGAGAUUGGCUGGAUUUACCGUGUAUGAGCUGGAUUGUUUUGGACUUACCUGUUGGCGUUUGGACCUGGACCUACCGAGAACCCGAUUCGUGUACCGAACCCUGCUAUCCUUGACCUCGCCUACGGCCUGGGUGGACCAGGACAAACACACAGGUACUGUCCUGUUCGAAAGAACUCUCAUUCUUGGGUGAUUUGGUGACAGUUUACCACUUAGUUUGUGACAAACGCUCCUAACCUUGAAGAGGUUUGCCACAACACACACUAGAGGUUGACCGAUUAAUCGUAAUGGCCGAUUAAUUGGGGCCGAUUUCAAGUUUUCAAUAACAAUUGGAUCCGUAUUUUUGGACACCGAUUCGGUCGAUUUAUAAUAAUAAAAAACUUUAUUUAACUAGGCAAGUCAGUUAAGAACACAUUCUUAUUUUCAAUGACUGCCUAGGAACGGUGGGUUAACUGCCUUGUUCAGGGGCAGAACGACAGAUUUUUACCUUGUCAGCUCAGGGAUUCAAUCUUGCAACCUUACAGUUAACUAGUCCAACGCUCUAACCACCUGAUCACGUUGCACUCCACGAGGAGCCUGCCUGUUAUGCGAAUGCAGUAAGCCAAGGUAAGUUGCUAGCUAGCAUUAAACUUAUCUUCUAAAAAACAAUCAAUCAUAAUCAAUAGUUAACUACACAUGGUUGACGAUAUUACUAGUUUAUCUAGCGUGUCCUGCGUUGCAUAUAAUCGAUGCGGUGCGCAUUCGUGAAAAAGGACUGUUGUUGCUCCAAUGUGUACCUAACCAUAAACAUCAAUGCCUUUCUUAAAAUCAAUACACAGAAGUAUAUAUUUUUUAACCUACAUAUUUAGCUAAAAGAAAUCCAGGUUAGCAGGCAAUAUUAACCAGGUGAAAUUGUGUCACUUCUCUUGCGUUCAUUGCACGCAGAUUCAGGGUAUAUGCAACAGUUUGGGCUGCCUAAUUUGCCAGAAUUUUACGUAAUUAUGACAUAACAUUGAAGGUUGUGCAAUGUAACAGGAAUAACCACCAGCUUUCAUAUGUUCUGAGCAAGGAACUGAAACGUUAGCUUUCUUACAUUGCACAUAUUGCACUUUUACUUUCUUCUCCAACACUUUGUUUUUGCAUUAUUUAAACCAAAUUGAACAUGUUUCAUUAUUUAUUUGAGGCAAAAUUGAUUUUAUUGAUAUAUUAUAUUAAGUUACAUGAAGUGUUCAUUCACUAUUGUUGUAAUUGUCAUUACAUUUAAAAAAUCGGCAUCUGCUUUUUUUUGGUCCAACAAUAAUCGGUAUCGGCGUUGAAAAAUCAUAAUCGGUCGAUAUCUAACACACACAUCCAAGGAAUGGAAUUAAGAAUAUCUAAAUAUAUGGACGAGCAAUGUCAGAGCGGCAUAGACUAAGAUACAGUAGAAUAGUAUAGAAUACAGCGGCAUAGACUAAGAUAGAGUAUAUGCAGUUGAAGUCGGAAGUUUACAUACACCUUAGCCAAAUACAUUUAAACUGUUUUUCACAAUUCCUGACAUUUAAUCCUAGUAAAAAUUCCCUGUCUUAGGUCACUUAGGAUCACCACUUUAUUUUAAGAUUGUGACUUGUCAGAAUAAUAGUAGAGAGUGAUUUAUUUAAGCUUUUAUUUCUUUCACUGGGAACCACGUUCCCAGUGGGUCAGAAGUUUACAUACACUCAAUUAGUAUUUGGUAGCAUUGCCUUAAAUUGUUUAACUUGGGUCAAAUGUUUUGGGUAGCCUUCCACAAGCUUCCCACAAUAAGUUUGGUCCAUUCCUCCUGACAGAGCUGGUGUAACUGAGUCAGGUUUGUAGGCCUCCUUGCACGCACACACUUUUCCAGUUCUGCCCACACAUUUUCUAUAGGAUUGAGGUCAGGGCCUUGUGAUGGCCACUCCAAUACCUUGACUUUGUUGUCCUUAAGCCAUUUUGCCACAACUUUGGGGUCAUUGUCCAUUUGGAAGACCCAUUUGCGACCAAGCUUUAACUUCCUGACUGAUGCCUUGAGAUGUUUCAAUAUAUCCACAUAAUUUUCCAGCCUCAUGAUGCCAUCUAUUUUGUGAAGUUCACCAGCCCCUCCUGCAGCAAAGCACCCCACAACAUGAUGCUGCCACCCCCGUGCUUCACGGUUGGGAUGGUGGUCUUCGGCUUGAAAGCAUCCCCUUUUUCAUUCCAAACAUAACGAUGGUCGUUAUGGCCAAACAGUUCUAUUUUUGUUUCAUCAGACCAAAAGACAUUUCUCCAAAAAGUAUGAUCUUUGUCCCCAUGUGCAGUUGCAAUCCGUAGUCUAGCUUUUUAUGGCGGUUUUGGAGCAGUGGCUUCUUCCUUGCUGAGCAGCCUUUCAGGUUAUGUCGAUAUAGGACUCGUUUUUACUGUGGAUAUAGAUACUUUUGUACCUGUUUCCUCCAGCAUCUUCACAAGGUCCUUUGCUGCUGUAAUGGGAUUGAUUUGCACUUUUCGCACUAAAGUACGUUCAUCUCUAGGAGACAGAACGCGUCUCCUUUCUGAGCGGUAUGACGGCUGCGUGGUCCCAUGGUGUUUAUACUUGCGUACUAUUGUUUGUACAGAUGAACGUGGACCUUCAGGCAUUUGGAAAUUGCUCCCAAGGAUGAACCAGACUUUUUUUCUGUGGUCUUGGUUGAUUUCUUUUUAUUUUCCCAUGAUGUCAAGCAAAGAGGCACUGAGUUUGAAGGUAGGCCUUGAAAUACAUCCACAGGUACACCUCCAAUUGACUCAAAUUAUGUCAAUUAGCCUAUUGGAAGCUUCUAAAGCUAUGACAUAAUUUUCUGGAAUUUUCCAAGCUGUAUAAAGGCCCAGUCAACUUAGUGUAUGUAAACUUCUGACCCACUGGAAUUGUGAUACAGUUAAUUUUAAGUGAAAUAAUCUGUCUCUAAACAAUUGUUGGAAAAUUGACUUGUCAUUCACAAAGUAGAUGUCCUAACCAACUUGCCAAAACUAUAGUUUGUUGACAAGAAAUUUGUGGAGUGGUUGAAAAACCACCAGCCUAAGUGUAUGUAAACUUCUGAGUUCAACUGUACAUAUGAGAUGAGUAAUGCAAAAUAUGUAAACAUUAUUAAAGUGGCUAGUGUUCCAUUUCUUAGUGGCCAGUGAUUUCAAGUUUCUGUAUAUAGGCUGCAGCCUCUCUAAUGUGCUCGUGAUGGCUAUUUAACAUUCUGUAGGUCUUGAGAUAGAAGCUGUUUUUCAGUCUCUCAGUCCCCGCUUUGAUGCACCUGUACUGACCUCGCCUUCUGGAUGAUAGCGUGGUGAACAGGCAUUGGCUCGGGUGGUUAUUGUCCUUGAUGAUCUUUUUGGCCUUCCUGUGACAUCGGGUGGUGUAGGUGUCCUGGAGGGCAGGUGGUUUGCCCCCGGUGAUGCGUUGGGCAGACAGCACCACCCUCUGGAGAGCCUUAUGGUUGAGGGCGGUGCAGUUGCCGUACCAGGCGGUGAUACGGUCAGACAGGAUGCUCUCGAUUGUGAAUCUGUAAAAGUUUGACGGUUUUAGGUGCCAAGCCAAGUUUUUUUUUCAGCAUCUUGAGGUGUGGGUGGACCAUUUUAGUUUGUCAGUGAUGUGUAUGCUGAGGAACUUGAAACUUUCCACCUUCUCAACUGUGGUCCUGUCGAUGUGGAUAGGGGGUGCUCCCUCUGCUGUUUCCUGAAGUCAGGGUCAUUUCUUUUGUUUUGUUGAUAUUGAGUGUGAUGUUAUUUUCCUGGCACCACACUCCCAGGGCCCUCAACUCCUCCCUGAAGGCUGUCUCGUCAUUGUCGGUAAUCAGGCCUACUACUGUUGUGGCGUUUGCUAACUUGAUGAUUGAGUUGGAGCCGUGCUGUCCACGCAGUCAUGGGUAAACAGGGAGUACAGGAGGGGGCCAUGCACGCACCCUUGUGGGGCCCCAGUGUUGAAGAUCAGCGAAGUGCCGGUGUUGUUUUCUACCUUCACCACCCGUGGCCCGUCAGGAAGUCCAGGACCCAGUUGAACAGGGCAGGGUUCAGACCCAGGGCCUCAAGCUCAAUGAUGAGCUUGGAGGGUACUUGAUGUUGAAUGCUGAGCUAAUGUCAAUUAACAGCAUUACAUAGGUAUUCCUCUUGCCCAGAUGGGUUAGUGCAGUGUGAUGGCAUCGUCUGUGGCUCUAUUGGGGCGGUAUGCAAAUUUGAAGUGGGUCUAGGGUGGCCGGUAAGGUAGAGGUGCUAUGAUCCUUGACUAGUCUCUCAAUGCACUUCAUGAUGACAGAAGUGAGUGCUACGGUGCGAUAGUCAUUUAGUUCAGUUACCUUUGCUUUCUUGGGUACAUGAACAAUGGUGGCCAUCUUGAAGCAAGUGGGGACAGCAGAAUGUGAUAUAGAGAGAUUCAAUAUGUCCGCAAACACACCAGCCAGCCGCCUGGGCCGGCAGCCUUGCAAGGGUUAACACGCUUAAAUGUCUUACUCACGUCGGCUACGGAGGAGAGCCCACAGUCCUUGGUAGCGGGCCGGGUCGGUGGCACUGUGUUAUCCCCAAAGCAGGUGAAGGUGUUUAGUUUGUCUGGAAGCAAGACGUCGGUGUCCGCAACGUGGCUGGUUUUCCCUUUGUAGUCCGUGAUUGUCCGUAGACCCUGCCCACAUACGUCUUGUGUCUGAGCCGUUGAAUUGCGACUCCACUUUGUCUCUGUACUGAAGUUUUGCCUGUUUGAUUGCCUUGUGGAGGGAAUAACUACACUGUUUGUAUUCUGCUAUAUUUCCAAUCAAAUUGCCAUGGUUACCACAUUAAUUCAUUUUUUUGGGUAUAAGCACAGAAGCAGCUAGCUAAAUUACUCUCAGCAUUGGUCAGACAUAAUAGUUGCACAGCAGCAUCAUCCCACUGACUGUGUGUGUGUGUGUGUGUGUGUGUGUGUGUGUGUGUUGCUCUCCAAUU